GAUGAAGAACGUAGCGAAAUGCGAUACGUAAUGCGAAUUGCAGAAUCCGUGAGUCAUCGAAUCUUUGAACGCACAUUGCGCCCUUUGGUAUUCCUUAGGGCAUGCCUGUUCGAGCGUCAUUUAAACCUUCAAGCUAAGCUUGGUGUUGGGUGACUGUCCGCUUCACGGCGGACUCGCCUCAAAAUUAUUGGCGGCCGGUACAUUGGCUUCGAGCGCAGCAGAAACGCGAACUCGGGCCCGUCGUAUUGGCUCCCAGAAGCUAUCUUCACAAUUUUGACCUCGGAUCAGGUAGGGAUACCCGCUGAACUUAAGCAUAUCAAUAAGCGGAGGA
rnacentral:misc_RNA from 1 species